rnacentral:miRNA from 1 species
GUCCUUUCCCUUAUGUUC